AUGGUCACUGGUGGUCACUUGAGGUUUCUGAUGGCCACUGGUCACCAAUGGUCACCGAUGGUCACUGGUGAUCAAUGGUCACUCAUGGUCACUCAUGGUCACUGGUGCUCACUGGUCACUGGUGGUCACUUGAGAUUUCUCAUGGCCACUGGUCACCAAUGGUCACUGGUGGUCAAUGGUCACUCAUGGUCAUUCAUGGUCACGGGUAGUCACUGGUCACUGGUGGAUGCUGGUGGUCACUGGUCACUCGUGAUCACUGGUGGUCACUGGUCACUGGUGGUUACUGGUCACUGGUCACUCCUGGUCAAUGCUCACUGGUGGUCACUGGUGGUCAUUCCCAGUCACAGGUGGUCACUGGUGGUCACUGGUGGUCAAUGGUCACUCCUGCUCAAUGCUCACAGUUGGUCACUGGUGGUCACUGGUGGUCACUCCCAGUUCCUGGUGGUCAAUGGUCGCUGGUCACUGUUGGUCACUGGUCACUGUUGGUCACUGUUGGUCGCUGUUGGUCACUGGUGGUCACUGUUGGUCACUCCCGGUCCUUGGUGGUCACUCCUGGUCACUUGUGGUCACUGGUGGUCACUGGUCACUGUUGGUCAUUGGUCACUCCUGAUCAUUUGCAGUCACUCCUGGUUACUGAUCACUGCUGGUCACUUGUGGUCACUCGUGGUCAGUGCUGGUCACUGCUGGUCACUCCUGGUCACUGGUAGUCACUCCCGGACCUUGGUGGUCAUUCCUGGUCACUGCUGGUCACUGCUGGUCACUGUUGGUCACCGUUGGUCACUGCUGGUCACUGCUGGUCACUGUUGGUCACUUGUGGUCACUCCUGGUCACUGUUGGUCACUGCUGGUCACUGUUGGUC
rnacentral:lncRNA from 1 species